AAUGUUUUCUUUAUUGAUUUAAUGUAUCUUUUAUGCAUUAUUUAAAAAAAAUAUUAGCAUUGUGCACUUCUUCUCUAUAUUCUCUAUAAGUGUGGAAAAUUUCAUACUCCUCCGUCCGCGCAACUUUCGUAAAAAGGGAUACAAAGUUUUUGCUUCACGUAUUAAUAAAUAGAUAGUUAGCACAGAUAACGCACAUGAUUAGCACAGAUAGUACACUUAAUAUUUAAGAUUAAUUUGUUAGUUUUUCUCCUUUGAGGAAGCUCAGGUCAUAGCGUUCCGGAAAGUAUGAGACAAGAUUGGUCUUGAGGAACAUAGCCAUUCUAGAUCGAACGAGAAAAUUACGAUGGGGAAAUGAAGAUGACCAUCUCAACUACAACAAGGAAAACUAAAUUCCCUCCGGAUUUCACCAACUUGAAGGUGUACCUUGAAGACGUAUCCUCUUUCAUCAAGGCUGGUGACGUACAUACAGCUACUGUAAUCAACAAACCUUUGCCUGUUCAUCUGUAAACGUAACAUUGUUUUAGAACAAUAAGUACAGCGCGCGUCAGAUCACCUUGGAGAUUUCCGACUUUCAUACAAAAUAGAGACAAUUGAACGCGACACAGUAAAAUUAACUUGUGAUUUGACCGGAUGGGUUGUCUCACGUAACAUAUCUCAAAUAGCCACCGAAACUCAUGGAGAUCACAAAAUGCCGUCAUCCACCUUUUCACCCUUCAAAAUAGCACACACAGUUGUUUCCCGCCAAAAAUAUAUAAAGAUGGCGGUCUACGCCGCGAA